rnacentral:rRNA from 1 species
AACGAACGCUGGCGGCAGGCUUAACACAUGCAAGUCGAACGCCCCGCAAGGGGAGUGGCAGACGGGUGAGUAACGCGUGGGAAUCUACCCAGAUCUUCGGAACAACUGAGGGAAACUUCAGCUAAUACCGGAUACGCCCUACGGGGGAAAGAUUUAUCGGUUCUGGAUGAGCCCGCGUUGGAUUAGCUAGUUGGUGGGGUAAUGGCCUACCAAGGCGACGAUCCAUAGCUGGUCUGAGAGGAUGAUCAGCCACACUGGGACUGAGACACGGCCCAGACUCCUACGGGAGGCAGCAGUGGGGAAUAUUGGACAAUGGGCGAAAGCCUGAUCCAGCCAUGCCGCGUGAGUGAUGAAGGCCUUAGGGUUGUAAAGCUCUUUCAGUAGGGAAGAUAAUGA